rnacentral:rRNA from 1 species
GCCUACGGCCACACCAGACUGAACACACCCAAUCCUGUCCGAACUCGGAAGCUAAGCAGUCCCAGGCCUGGCUAGUACCUUGAUGUGAAACCACCUGGGAAUCCUGGGUGCUGUAGCCU